UCGGCUCUGUCCUUCCUCCUACUGUCCUCAGACUCAGCCCUGGAGGAGUUUGACUUGAGGAAAUACCAGGCCUCAGAGACAGCUCUCCUGGGUCUGCUGCCGGUGGUCAGAGUCUGCACCAAAGCCCCUCUUUGUGGCUGUGGACUGUCCCCUCACAGCUGUGGUCCUCUGGCCUCAGUCCUCAGCUCCUCCAGUCUCACACACCUGGAUCUCAGUCACAACGACCUCCAGGACUUAGGAGUGGAGCUGCUGUGUUCUGGACUGAAGAGCGCCCCCUGCAGAUUGAAGACGCUCAGGUUGUCUGGAUGUCUGGUGUCACAGAGGGGCGGAGCUGUUCUUGCCUCAGCUCUGAGCUCCGCCCCUUCCCACCUGAGAGAGUUAAACCUGAGCUACAACCAUCCAGGCCCCUCAGCCGAGCUCCUGACCGCUCUACAGAACCAGCGUCCCCUGCUGUCUG